rnacentral:rRNA from 1 species
CCCUUAGAUGUUCUGGGCCGCACGCGCGCUACACUGAUGCAUUCAACGAGCCUAUCCUUGACCGACAGGUCCGGGUAAUCUUUGAAUCUGCAUCGUGACGGGGAUAGAUUAUUGCAAUUAUUAAUCUUCAACGAGGAAUGCCUAGUAGGCGCAAGUCAUCAGCUUGCGUCGAUUACGUCCCUGCCCUUUGUACACACCGCCCGUCGCUCCUACCGAUUGGGUGUGCUGGUGAAAUGUUCGGAUCGGCCGUUUGUCGCGGUUUCCGCGGCUCGUGGCUGAGAAAUUCAUUAAACCCUCCCACCUAGAGGAAGGAGAAGUCGUAACA